rnacentral:lncRNA from 1 species
AUUUGCAGAAUAAUUCCUGCAAAACUAUGAAACAAUGCAUAAUGCAAGUGACACUAAUUUUUCCUAUUUUCUCUUUUUCAUGUAUAUUGCAGAUGUCCAUAGGAACAGUUAAUGUUGGACUUUUGAAACUAGUGAUGGGGGUAAAAGAACAAGGAAUAGAGUUUGGGAAUAACUGAUCAGCAGAUAUAUUACAAUAAAGUUAGGGAUGUGGGAUGUUGACAUGCUAAAUGAAGAGCACAAAACCUGCAGCAUCAGGUUUUACAGACAUCAUGAGAAAAGGUUGGACAUGGUAAAAUUGCAAGUCAAAAGUCUGAGUAUUUACAUGCCUCUGUUUACAAACGUGUGAACAGUGUCUUAGAAUUCUCUGGUAAUCUUCUAGCCAUCACUUGUCUUACUCUUUUAUGUAAAAAGCACAGUUAAAAUUGGUAGUAUGUUCCCUCAUUCAUAUAUAAAAUGCUUAUUGUGUGCUAAGUUCUUAAGACAUUUGGGAUACCUCAUAUAUAAAAUGCUGAUUGUGUGCUAAGUUCUUAAGGCAUUUGGGAUACCUCAGUCAACAAAGCAGAAAAGAUCCCUCUGCAAAGCAUACAUUGGAGUGGGACGUGUAGAUAGUAAGUAGAGUAAAGACGUUGUAAGUUGUUAUAUCCUCUUGAAGAAAGGAAAACCUGGGGGUAAGAGAGAGCUGUGGUAAGAGAGCUUGGGGUUUGGGUUAUAAUUUUGAUAAGGAAAGGGAGCCUUACUGAGAACGUGGGUAAAGAGCAUAGUGAAGUUGAAGGAAUUGAGGAAGUACCCCAUUGAAAUAUCUGAGAAAGAUCUCUACAGGCAAAAGGGAUAACACCAAGGCAGAAGACUGCCUGCUUAUUUCUGCUACAGCAAGAAGGCCAGUGUGCUGGAGCAAUGAAAGCAGGUUCGAUGGUUUUAGGUCAGAAAUGUAGCUGUCUGCCAGAUCUUUGUUUUUAUGUCAUUAUAAGGAUUUUAGUUUUUAUUCUCUUUUUAAAAAUUUUUGUUAUAAUUGAUUUACAAUGUUCCUUCAAUUUCUGCUGUAAAGCAAAGAGACCCAGCCAUAUAUAUAUCUAUGUGGUAUAUAUACAUACAUAUAUAUAUAUAUAUACACAUACAUACAUUAUUUUUUCCUUUCAUACUACCUUCCAUUCCAUCAUGUUCUAACCAAAGAGAAUGGACUUAGUUCCCUGUACUGUACUCUAGGACCCCAUUGUUUAGCAUUCCAAAUGUAAGAGUUUGUCUUCUAACCCUAAACUCCUUAUCCAUCCACUUCCCUCUGCUUCUCCCCACUGGCAACCACAAGUCUCCUUUCCAUGUCCUUGCUCUGUUUCUGUUUUGUAUAUAGGAUCAUUUUUGUUAUAUCUUAGAUAAAAUAGGAAACUAACAGCUCAUUGGUUCUAAAAGUAUGUUCUCCAAACCAGCAGAACCAGCAUCAUCUGGGAAAUUGUCGGAAAUAUGAAUUCUUAGGUCUCACUGGCCCAUCAGACUUUGUUUGAAUAAAAUGCUCCAAGUGAUUCAGAUAAAUAUUUAAGUUGUAGAACCAGUCCACUAGAUGAUUCUAAGCCAAAAAAAAAAAAAAUGCCAUAAUCUAACUUGAUUUUCUUUUGUCUUAAUACAUCUAUAUAUUGACCGUAAGAAGGAUGGCCACAUAAGUUAUCUCUAAAUUCAAACACUUUUGAGGGUGAAAAGGGGACUAAAAAUAAUUGAAAGUUAAAAUUUACCCACAAUAGGUUUUAAGUUGGGAUUUUCAGGGACAAACCAGAACAUAUGAAGCCAUAAGUCACUCGUUUAUUCUGUAAGAUAUUAUAGGCUCUUCUUCUAGAGAGAGAUCUAGUCACCAAGGCAGAUUUUUAUAGCUUGAAAAGAAGAGGAAGAAGAAAAGCACUGCCAAGUGUCACUUCCCAGUCUGGACCUCAUAUUCUCAUAAGCAAUACCCAGCCUGAAGUUCACAGGAAGGAUAUCUCACUUGAAAAUAUGGACAACUUACAACUUACCAUACAUAAUCUGAAAUGAUUUAAAACAAAGCUGGAGCUAGAAUGGGAUUUUUAUGGAAGCCUGACCUUUGGUCUUGUUCAUUUCAUUACCAAGUAUUUUACUGCUGACAUUUAGUCUGGGCCAAAAGUUUGUCCCUACGCAUUUUGAAGUCAUGACAUUUCAUCAUGUGGUAUUUUGCUUUUGAUUAAAGUGCUCUGGCAUUAGUUGCCUUAUAAAUUUAAUAAUAUUUAAAUUUUUUGUAUGAACAUACUCUGUUUAAAAAAUGUGGCUGCAUAAAGGUACUAUCUAAUUUGAUAUAAAAUAUUUAAAUGAGGACUCUCUCAAGAGUGAAAUGUUUUCUGUUAUCAUGGAGGGCUGAAAUGCAUUCUAAACAGGCCCUCCCACAGGUGUAAAAUAGGAAGGCAUGAAAGCAGAGCCUGUGAUCAGUGUUUAUGCCCCUUGUACUCUUGUUUCCUCCCUGUUACACGGUGGAAUGCGUCAGGUCUCAGGAGAGCUCAUUUCAACAUGGUCGAACCCUAGUGAGAAAGUGAGGUUGACAGCCUUCAGGACUGAAAUCCUUGCCUAAGGAAAAUGUAAGCUAGCUAAAAAUAUAAAGAAACACAUAACUCAAGCUUGAAAAGAGAUUGAGAAUUGAAUCAGAUGCUUCUCGAAGGCAGUCGACCGACCACCUGCAUAAAGGUCACGUGGGGAGCACAUUCAAGGUACAGAUAAUCACAGGCUUCCCACCAGACCUGCUGGAUCAGAAUCUGGGCAGGAAGCUUAGACAUGCACAUUCUUAACAGACACUCUCUGUGUUUUUGAGGCACACUAAAGUUUGUGGAGCACUGUGAUAAGGACAGUGUCCAAAAGAAUUAUUCAGGGCCACGAAAGGUGAAGUUAAAAGAACAGUUACAACAGUAAGAUAACUUUCAGUGUUUUAACUGUUUUUAGUUUGAAUGACUACAAAUUGAGGAGAAAGAGAUCUAUCAAAACCCAAAGGACUCACUGCAGCGAGUCAGAGGAAAUGUUAAAAGCUUGAGAAGCAGCCAAAUAAUUGCUGGGGGUGGGAGGCUGGUGGAGCCUGCUUGGAGAUCUCUUGGGACCAACUUCACAUUGCUAAUUUACAAUCACAUGCUGCAUCUGUCACUUUUACAAAUCAAUGAGAAUGCCCACCCUUUAAGAACACGGGGUUACUUGCAAUGGUCACCGGUGUGGGCCAUCCAGACAAGACCUUUCAGGAUGUCAGGAAAGAACCUUGGCGAUGCACAUUAACACACACACGCUCCUUCAUGUCACUUUCAAUUUACUUUAUCUUAAAUUGUCAGCAAGAAGAAUUCACGCCCAUAUUAAUAACUGGAGGUUUGUAUUUAAGCCAGGAAAAAUAAGCCCUGCUGAUAGCUCUGUAGACAGCUGGUUUGCUCUAAGUAGAG